UACAGAGGUCCCAAGCGUUGUUCGGAUUCACUGGGCGUAAAGGGUGCGUAGGCGGUCGGGUAAGUCUGAUGUGAAAUCUCACAGCUUAACUGUGAAACUGCAUUGGAUACUAUCCGGCUCGAGGAAUGGAGGGGAGACUGGAAUACUUGGUGUAGCAGUGAAAUGCGUAGAUAUCAAGUGGAACACCAGUGGCGAAGGCGAGUCUCUAGACAUUUCCUGACGCUGAGGCACGAAAGCCAGGGGAGUAAACGGG
rnacentral:rRNA from 1 species